UUGGGUUCCCGUUGGUUAUGGGUGCCCUUUACUUGUCACGGCACUUUCCUGUCCUCAUCACGUUCAGUCUUCUUGCACAGCCUUAUGAAAGGCCAUCCGCAGUCACCGUUUUGUCUUUUUUGUAGCUGGGAAGUUGAAGCAGAAGGGUGAGACUUUCAAAAAAAAAGAAAAAGCAAGAAACAACAACACAACUCCUUAGAACCCAGCAGCCUGAAAAGAGAAAGUAGUGGUCUUCAAAGUGUAAGAGUAACAUCAUGGAAAAUUCCCUGACCAGGGAUCAAACCCGUGCCCCCUGCAUUGAAAGUGUGGAGUCUUAACCACUGGACAACCAGGGAAGUCCC